rnacentral:lncRNA from 1 species
GAAAGAUAAAGUGAUAAAGAAGAGCAAGAUCCUAUGAGGGUGAAAUUCUGACCUCAUUUCUUUUGCUGGUUCUCAUUUCAGGUCAUUUGAGGCAGCAGAUACUCGGGUGCUAAAAAUCCCUCCAAACAUCUCAACAUUUUUUCCCCCUCGGGAUCAGUAUGGUGUCACGGGAAGAAGUUUAAAGAAUGAAUAGCAUGUCCAGCCAUCCCACUGUGUGUCUAUAGAUGCCAGGCCAGCCCAGGAGAUGCACUUUCAGAUUCCUGAUGGCAGCCGCUAUAAGCAAAAGUUUCCUGGAGGUGCUCCUCUCUCUCCAAUCAGCUUCCCAGUUCUACAAAACUGGACUUCAGGUUGUCACAUAUAGAGGUUUUCAACCACUAUCAGCUUUGGUCUUCCAUGGUAUUCAGCAAAGAACUAGCCCACAUAUUGUAGUGAAGACUCCCUUAGAUCACAUGACAGUAUUUGAGACUGGAGAUGCCAUGUAGUGAGUUUGUUUUUUUUUUUUGAAAUGAGAAGCGAGACAUCAACUCACGGGUAAAGUACCCAUAGCCGUUAUUUUUUCCCUCCAUUCUUCCCUCUCUCCCUUCACCCCAGCUAAAGACAGAAUUUGACUUCAAAUUAAUUUGAGGCCAAUGUUUUUCAUACUGCUAGUGCUGAGAGAAGAAAGGCAACGGCUUCUCACCCGUGUUAACUUAUACUUUCUCUUAACCCAAGGAAUCAAUACUGUAUCACUUAGUCCUGGGAAGAGGGAGUAAAAGGUAGUUGCCUGAAUGAACCUUUGGCAUUCAUUUAUCUACAGAACCCUCCAAAAACAAAAUUCCUAUUGAAAGGAAACCUGCACAGCACCAGCUUGUACCUUGCACCUGUUCUGUUAAAGUCAUUCACAGAGCAGAAUACAUUAGAAUAGAUAAAAUGUUUUGGUGUGCAA